GCGUAUUGAUCUACCUUUUACAGAGGGAUAGCCCAGAUAAAUUUGGAUUAAUACCUCAUAGUAUUUUCGAAUCGCAUGAUUUGAUUAUUAAAGUUCCAACGGUAAAAGAUGAGUAUGCGUCCCAUUAGCUAGAUGGUAAGGUAACGGCUUACCAUGGCAACGAUGGGUAGGGGUCCUGAGAGGGAGAUCCCCCACACUGGUACUGAGACACGGACCAGACUCCUACGGGAGGCAACAGUGAGGAAUAUUGGACAAUGGGCGCAAGCCUGAUCCAGCCAUGCCGCGUGCAGGAAGACGGUCCUAUGGAUUGUAAACUGCUUUUAUACAGGAAGAAACACCUCUACGUGUAGAGACUUGACGGUACUGUAUGAAUAAGCAUCGGCUAGCUCCGUGCCAGCAGCCGCGGUAAUACGGAGGAUGCAAGCGUUAUCCGGAAUCAUUGGGUUUAAAGGGUCCGUAGGCGGUUUAAUAAGUCAGUGGUGAAAGCCCAUCGCUCAACGAUGGAACGGCCAUUGAUACUGUUAAACUUGAAUUAUUAGGAAGUAACUAGAAUAUGUAGUGUAGCGGUGAAAUGCUUAGAGAUUACAUGGAAUACCAAUUGCGAAGGCAGG
rnacentral:rRNA from 1 species